rfam:Rattus norvegicus chromosome 12, whole genome shotgun sequence.
AGGGAUUUAGCUCAGUGGUAGAGCGCUUGCCUAGCAAGCGCAAGGCCCUGGGUUCGGUCCCCAGCUCUG